rnacentral:rRNA from 1 species
AUUGAACGCUGGCGGCAGGCCUAACACAUGCAAGUCGAGCGGAUGAAGGGAGCUUGCUCCUGGAUUCAGCGGCGGACGGGUGAGUAAUGCCUAGGAAUCUGCCUGGUAGUGGGGGAUAACGUCCGGAAACGGGCGCUAAUACCGCAUACGUCCUGAGGGAGAAAGUGGGGGAUCUUCGGACCUCACGCUAUCAGAUGAGCCUAGGUCGGAUUAGCUAGUUGGUGGGGUAAAGGCCUACCAAGGCGACGAUCCGUAACUGGUCUGAGAGGAUGAUCAGUCACACUGGAACUGAGACACGGUCCAGACUCCUACGGGAGGCAGCAGUGGGGAAUAUUGGACAAUGGGCGAAAGCCUGAUCCAGCCAUGCCGCGUGUGUGAAGAAGGUCUUCGGAUUGUAAAGCGCUUUAAGUGGGGAGGAAGGGCAGUAAGUUAAUACCUUGCUGUUUUGACGUUACCAACAGAAUAAGCACCGGCUAACUUCGUG